rnacentral:rRNA from 1 species
ACAGGCCUUACAAGGCGACGAUCUGUAGCGGCUAGGAGAGGAUGAUUAGCCACCCUGAGAGUGAGAUACGCCCCAGAGUCAUACAGGCGGCAGCCGUGGUGAAUAUUGAGCAAUCGGGGGAACCUUGAUCCCAACAGGGGGAGUCUGUGAGGAAGACCUUUGGGUGGUAAAACACUUUAAGCGAGGAGGAGGCUUCCAUUAUUAAUGAUAAAGGAGAGUGGAGUUUACUAGCAGAAUAAGCACCGGAUAUAUGUGCCCCCGCAGCCGCGGUAAUACAGAGGGCGCGAGCGUUCAUGAAAUUUAGUGGGUAAAAAGCGUGUGUAGGUGUACAAAUAUGUCAAAUGAGAAAUCCCGGAUCUUCCCUGGGGAAUCACUUUAAAUAGUUCUGGGCUAGAGCAUGAGAGAGAAUGGUAGAUUUCCAGGUGUAGCGGAAAAAUGUGUAGAUAUGGGGAGGCACCCCGAUGGAGAAGGCAUCCAUCGGCCGUAAUACUCACUGAGACGUAAGAAAGCAUGGGGCGCACACAAGAUUAGACCCCGGGGUAGCCCACCCUAAAAAAGAGGUAUUAUAGCCGUGGGGGUAUUGGCGCCUUUAGUGCCGCAGCUAACGCGAUAAGUAG